rnacentral:lncRNA from 1 species
GAAGCGUAAUAAAAAUUUUGAUUAACAUCUCUUACACAAUAACCAAAAACGUACUCAAAACAUGAAAGAAUAAGCUAAUUAAAAGUGAUAUUCAAAAUAAAAAAUAUAAAUAGAGCUAUAAGGUCCUUAGGCGUCUAACUCGCUGUCUUCCUGCGGAACGGGCUCGAGAACCACGUCUUCCUGAUCUGAAAUGGUUAAGUAAGGAAUGAGCAACACUAGCCCAGUAAAGACAUCACACUAUCUCACUACCACAGAAGUAAAGAUCGGUAGAAAACAAAAACGACCAAUGGAGCAUAAU